GGAGUGUAGUGGUAGAACAUCUGCUUUGCAUGCAGAAGGUCCCAGGUUCAAUCCCCAGCAGCUCCC
rnacentral:tRNA from 1 species